UACGUAGGGUGCGAGCGUUAAUCGGAAUUACUGGGCGUAAAGCGUGCGCAGGCGGUUCGUUGUGUCGGCGGUGAAAGCCCCGGGCUUAACCUGGGAAUGGCCGUUGAAACUGGCGAACUGGAGUGUGGCAGAGGGGGGUGGAAUUCCGCGUGUAGCAGUGAAAUGCGUAGAGAUGCGGAGGAACACCAGUGGCGUAAGCGGCCAACUGGACGAGCACUGACGCUCAUGCACGAAAGUGUGGGGAUCAAACAGG
rnacentral:rRNA from 1 species